CCCCACAGUAGCUUGCCUCUCCACCUCGCCACCAUCCCGGCCCUCCCUUCCUCCUGCCGGGGUUUAAUAACCUGAGCAACUUUCCUUCCACACCUAUCCCCCCACCGCUUUCGUCUUGGUACUGCCUGCCCGGUGUGAGGUGCUCCGGUCACCCCUCUCUUUCCCUUCAGGUUGGUUCAGCCCCGGUCUACUCCGGGGUGGUGCUUAGUCGGCGCCAGACCGACCCUAGACUUCGCCGAGGCAGUGCAGUUCCUCUGGGUGCUUCCUCCUCGGCUUCUCCGUCUUCUUCUUCGUCUUCCUCGGCCUCCUUACCCUCCGCGGGGCCCAGAGACCCUGGUGUAUGCUCCAGCCCUGACCCCACCAGAGACAUGUCCACCCCGGCUCGGCGGCGCCUCAUGCGGGACUUCAAGAGGUUGCAGGAGGAUCCUCCGGCUGGAGUCAGCGGGGCCCCAUCCGAGAACAACAUCAUGGUUUGGAACGCGGUCAUUUUCGGGUGAGACUGCGUUCCCGGCGGUGGCGAGAGCUGGGGAACUCGAGCUGGCUCACUCUGCUCUCCAGUACAGGCCCCUUACGAAGGCGGAGGGUAAAGAGGAAAAUGUGCGGGGCUGGCGGGGCCUAGGCGCCUCCCUGGAGCCUGUGCCUCGAUUAGCUCGGUUCCCGCUGCUAGGGGAACCGUCGGGGGUUCUACGGGGGGCGGGGCGGGGGAGUGGUGGCGGUUUGGCUCGGCGGCCUGCACUGUCUCCAAGCCCCAAGCACCCAUUUGCAGCGGCUUUCCGACCCAGGAAACCGAUGGACGGUGGUUUGCCAAAGGCGGAGAUGGCAGCGCUU
rnacentral:lncRNA from 1 species